rnacentral:rRNA from 1 species
UUCGAGUGGCGGACGGGUGAGUAACGCGUGGGUAACCUGCCUUACACAGGGGGAUAACACCUGGAAACAGGUGCUAAUACCGCAUAAGCGCACAGGGCCGCAUGGCCCGGCGUGAAAAACUCCGGUGGUGUAAGAUGGACCCGCGUCUGAUUAGCUUGUUGGCGGGGUAGGGGCCCACCAAGGCGACGAUCAGUAGCCGGCCUGAGAGGGUGGACGGCCACAUUGGGACUGAGACACGGCCCAAACUCCUACGGGAGGCAGCAG